rnacentral:rRNA from 1 species
UUGACUGGGGCGGUCGCCUCCCAAAAGGUAACGGAGGCGCUCAAAGGUUCUCUCAGUACGGUCGGAAAUCGUACGUAGAGUGUAAAGGCAAAAGAGAGCUUGAUUGCAAGACAUACAGGUCGAGCAAGGAUGAAAAUCGGACUUAGUGAUCCGGUGGUUCUGCGUGGAAGGGCCAUCGCUCAACGGAGAAAAGCUACCCUGGGGAUAACAGGCUUAUCUCCCCCAAGAGUCCACAUCGACGGGGAGGUUUGGCACCUCGAUGUCGGCUCAUCACAUCCUGGGGCUGUAGUAGGUCCCAAGGGUUGGGCUGUUCGCCCAUUAAAGUGGUACGCGAGCUGGGUUCAGAACGUCGUGAGACAGUUCGGUCCCUAUCCGUCGCAGGCGUAGGAAAUUUGAGAAGACCUGUCCUUAGUACGAGAGGACCGGGAUGGACGUACCUCUGGUGUACCAGUUGUCCUGCCAAGGGCAUGGCUGGGUAGCUAUGUACGGAAUGGAUAAGCGCUGAAAGCAUCUAAGCGCGAAGCCAACUUCAAGAUAAGAUUUCCCACCGCAAGGGUAAGACCCCAGAAAGACUAUCUGGUUGAUAGGUCGAAGGUGUAAGUGCAGCAAUGUAUUUAGCUUAUCGAUACUAAUAGGUCGAGGACUUGACCAAU